rnacentral:lncRNA from 1 species
CAAGCCUCGUGGAGAAGUCUGCAGGCUUCUUGCUCCUAAGAAGGUGUGAAUUUGGAGUAGUGAGCUGGAGAAGCAGCUGGCUCUAGAUUUAUCCCCCAAGUGGUGGGAUAAAUGCCCGAGGAAGGAGACCCCAGCACGUUGAAAAAAAAAAUCAUCGUAUUUGAUGAAAAGCAUUCAGAGGCUGGAUUGUAGUAGGGGUAGAGGUACAUAGAAGGAGAAGGGUGCAGGAAAGAUAUUCUUUCCACUGCCAAUGAGAUGAUAAAGGACUAUUCAGCUUUUAAACCUCAGGGGCUGGUGAACAUUUGUUGGCUG